AGUUGGGUCGCGUGGCCCAAGCAAAGGCUAGGGCUGCUUAGUUCCUAAGGAGAUUAUUUUGUUUCUAAAUAAGCGGGGUGGAAUGCGUGAGGCUGGUUUUACAGAGCAAUGAAUCGGCU
rnacentral:SRP_RNA from 1 species